rnacentral:rRNA from 1 species
CAAUAGCGUAUAUUAAAGUUGUUGCAGUUAAAAAGCUCGUAGUUGGAUUUCUGGUCGGAAGCUCCUGUCCUCUGAUGAGCGUACAAGUGCGUCCUACCAUCCUUCUGUUAACCUUUAAGGCUUUCGCGGCUUUCUAGGGGCUCAGAUAUUUUACCUUGAGAAAAUUAGAGUGUUUCAGGCAGGCUAGCGCCGGAUUACAUUAGCAUGGAAUAAUGGAAUAGGACUUUUGCCUCUUCUGUUGGUCAUGAGGCUCGAGUAAUGAUUAAUAGGGAUAGUUGGGGGCAUUAGUACUUAACUGUCAGAGGUGAAAUUCUCGGAUUUGUUAAAGACUAACUUAUGCGAAAGCAUUUGCCAAGGAUGUUUUCAUUAA